GCGGGUAUAGCUCAGUGGUAGAGUGUGUGUUUAUCAUACACGGGGUCCUGGGUUCAAUCCCCAGUACCUCCU